AAGGGAGAGGAUUACGUGGGAAUCUACCCUCAGAACUGGGAUAGCGGCGGGAAACUGCCGGUAAUACCAGAUAAUGUCUGUGGACCAAAGGUGUGAUUCCGUCUGGGGAUGAGCCCACGUCCUAUUAGCUAGUUGGCAGGGUAAUGGCCUACCAAGGCAAUGAUGGGUAGCGGGUGUGAGAGCAUGACCCGCCUCACUGGGACUGAGAACUGCCCAGACACCUACGGGUGGCUGCAGUCGAGAAUCUUCGGCAAUGAGCGCAAGCUUGACCGAGCGACGCCGCGUGCGGGAUGAAGGCCUUCGGGUGUAAACCGCUGUCGUAGGGGAGCAAGAGAUGAGGGUACUCCCUCUGAUUUGAGCGAUCCUAGGAGGAAGGACGGGCUAAGUUCGUGCCAGCAGCCGCGGUAAGACGAACCGUCCAAACGUUAUUCGGUAUCACUGGGCUUAAAGAGUUCGUAGGCGGCUCCGUAGGUGAGGUGUGAAAUCCCUCGGCUCAACCGAGGAAUUGCGCUUCAAACCGUGGAGCUUGAGGUAGACAGGGGUAAGCGGAACAGAUGGUGGAGCGGUGAAAUGCGUUGA
rnacentral:rRNA from 1 species